rnacentral:rRNA from 1 species
GACGAACGCUGGCGGCGUACUUAACACAUGCAAGUCGAACGGAGUGGCGAACGGGUGAGUAACACGUGGGUGAUCUGCCUUGCACUUCGGGAUAAGCUUGGGAAACUGGGUCUAAUACCGGAUAGUGCAAGAGGGGUUCGCGGCCUAUCAGCUUGUUGGUGGUGUAAUGGCCUACCAAGGCGUCGACGGGUAGCCGGCCUGAGAGGGUGUACGGCCACAUUGGGACUGAGAUACGGCCCAGACUCCUACGGGAGGAAGCAGUGGGGAAUAGUGCACAAUGUGCGGAAGUCUGAUGCAGCGACGCAGCGUGGGGGAUUAAGGACUUCGGGUUGUAAACUCCUUUCGACAGGGACGCGGUACCUGUAUAAGAAGCACCGGCUAACUACGUGCCAGCAGACGCGGUAAUUC